rnacentral:rRNA from 1 species
UACGUAGGGGGCUAGCGUUGUCCGGAAUUAUUGGGCGUAAAGAGCUUGUAGGCGGUCUGUCGCGUCUGCUGUGAAAAUCCGGGGCUCAACCCCGGACUUGCAGUGGGUACGGGCAGACUCGAGUGUGGUAGGGGAGACUGGAAUUCCUGGUGUAGCGGUGAAAUGCGCAGAUAUCAGGAGGAACACCGAUGGCGAAGGCAGGUCUCUGGGCCACUACUGACGCUGAGAAGCGAAAGCAUGGGGAGCGAACAGG